GGGGCUUUAGCUCAGCCGGGAGAGCGUUUGACUGGCAGUCAAAAGGUCAGGGGUUCGAUCCCCCUAAGCUCCACCA
rnacentral:tRNA from 1 species